UGAAAUCUCACCAGGCCCGGACACUGGAAGGAUUGACAGAUUGAUAGCUCUUUCUUGAUUUGGUGCGUGGUGGUGCAUGGCCGUUCUUAGUUGGUUGAGUGAUUUGUCUUGUUAAUUCCGAUAACGAACGAGACUCUGUCCUGCUAAAUAGUGUCUGCUUCUCUUUCGAGCAGACAAUUCUUCUUAGAGGGACUAUAUAUGUUAAGUAUAUGGAAGUUUGAGGCAAUAA
rnacentral:rRNA from 1 species